rnacentral:rRNA from 1 species
UACGUAGGGUGCUAGCGUUGUUCGGAAUCAUUGGGCGUAAAGCGCGUGUAGGCGGUCAAAUAAGUCUGGUGUGAAAGCCCUGGGCUCAACCGAGGAAGUGCAUCAGAAACUAUUUGACUAGAAGACGGUAGAGGAAGGUGGAAUUCCAAGUGUAGAGGUGAAAUUCGUAGAUAUUUGGAGGAAUACCGGUGGCGAAGGCGGCUUGCCAGAACGCGCUCGACGGUGAGGGAUGAAAGCUGGGGGAGCAAACCGG